rnacentral:ncRNA from 6 species
UGGAAGACUAGUGAUUUUAUUGUU